CCCUGUAGAGAGCAAAGGGGAAGAGAGACACCCGGUCAUUGCCAGUAUCAGGGGUUAAUUUUGUUAAGGUCCGUUAUCUGAGCCCAAGAGCACAGGGAGGCCACACCUCGAGAUCGGGAUAAUUUCUUCCAGUAGCUUCUUGAUCAUCAUGGCAGUGUCUUGUGCUUAGUUGAGAAAGUCUCAGUUCAUCCUGAACAGUGAAGAAGACCUGGAGCCGUUGGAAACAAUCAUCCCAUGUGGUCUGAAAGUUGGGUUCUCUCCGACAUAUGCCCCCUGGUCAUGAAAGUUUUGUGUCACCUCAGGACUCUGCCACGAACAGAUCCAGCUCUUUGAUGUUGGAUUUCCAGAACCAACCACAAGCCAAAAUAAACCUCAUUCCUUUAUAAAC